CUUUUGAAACGCUUGGUUUUCUCUGGCCAUGGUGUGGAAUCUUCAGUUUAUAUUCUUGCAGGAAAUCUUUUAGAAAUGGAUUACUAUUAAAGGGUGUUUAGAUGUUCAUGCAGAAGCAUCUUUAUUGAAAUCCUUGCUGCACAAGUAAGAUUCUGUUGGAAGCUUGCUUUUGGACACGAGCCCAAACACGAGGGAGCAGUUCCAUAGCUCGAGUCGACCACACCAUAGGAAGAGUGGGGAUUCAACAGCCCUGUUUAAAACUUCUUGGGGGCUACAUAAGUUUUGGAUCAAGCUAAUAUUUCGUUGUUCCCUUUAUCCAGUUCGGAGUCAUCUUUCGAAAGGUGUUCAUGAAUGGCAUAUAAACAUCAAGGUGCACUCUGGAAACUCUCCAACGGUGGGUGCUUUAUUCUAGCGCUGGGUGCUUUUAUUCUUAAAAAUGGAUGGACAAAGUGGACAUAUAACACAUACAUGACAGUGUGUUCCACAGAGCUUAAAGUUGCAGAAAUCCCCUUUAAAAAUACCCGCGGGCCAGAUUGCUGCAGGCAAUCCGCGUCCCUCUGGUCGAUUUUCCUACACCUGAUUUCCAUUUUUUCGAAUUUAAAUAAUACAAAAGUAUACUUGUAUAGUUGCACCAGCCCUCGAUUACAAGAACAAACAUGAGCAUAUGUGCAAGUCAAUCAUGGCCGUGAGUGCCGAGUAUGUUAUAGGCAAUUGAGGUGAAAAUAGUAUGCUUUUCGUGAUCUUAAUUAGGGAAUCAUGACCAUUCGUUGAAUCCCAUGAAAUAGAACGUUCAUCAGUCAGGGUGAAUGAAAAUAGGUGCAGGGCCAGCAUAACUCGCAUAGGUACAAGGCUCAUGCCUACUUGUAAUGUUGGGGGAACAUCUUUUGCCUUAAUCCCAAACAACCUUUUUACAGAGCUUCAAUCAUCAGAGGUCCACCGAAAAUCGAAAGAGAGUAGUGGAAUUUCGUGUGUUUUCCAAAUUCAUGUGGUGUUGCUAGCCUAUGUUUUGUGAUAAUGUAAUUUUUAGUAUGUUCAGUCAUCUUGGUUAGGCACGUCCGGUGACUGACUAUGUUGCCCUAUGGCUCAACCCUGCAAUAAUUGUGGGUGUUCUCAUUCCAAUGGUUGCCUAUUAUAUAACUUAGAGUUUUGGAUCGGCCUGGUUUUUGGUCUCCUAGCAGACAUGAGGCAGCACACUCGAUGGACGGUUGGAUCUCAUACACAUUCCCUACCAUUACAUUCUGCUAUCAGCAGGCAUUGUCAUGUAUAUAUACGCGAGCUAGGCUAAUGUUGUCCACUAAAAAGGUGGCAGUCAUUUAUCUUUCCUGCAGAUUAUACUUCUUUUUUUAUUUUAUUUUCUUCUCGUUCUUUAUUCUAAUAUGAAUUGUUCAAGUAGCCUAAGAAUUUUUAGGAUUUGUUGAUGCAUAAAGAAGUACUAAAUUUUCUUUUCUUUUUAUUUCUCUCUUUGGUUUUUUAUUUAUUUAUUUUUCCUUCUUAUAAUGAGGAAUGCUGAGGAGUUUUAUCCUAUGAACUCACAAUCAAGGUGAUUCAUCUCGUAUGUCCCACAAUAGAUGGGGUGAAAGUCCUGAUUAGAUAUUAUCAUCGUCCCAGCCUGGGUUAAAAUCUGGAACAUUUUUUCUGACUCACAUUUGAUACUUAUAGCAGAGUGUGAUGGAUGAUUAACAAACACUUAGAAAUUACUUAAACAUUGCCUAAGUUUAAUAUAAUUAAUCCAAAUUACACUGUAAAUUAUUGGUCUAGUUUAGAUGUACCGUGAACUAAAAGUUAGGGUUAUUUGAUUAUCUGACUAUUGGAUUGGGGGUACAAUUAUUAGAUGGUUAAAAAUGGAAAAUAUUCUGUGUACUUAGUUCAACAGACAAGUGUCCACUAAACAGAUAUUACGAUUGUGUAGCCCAUUUGAAUUUUUUACUGUAACUUUGUGACAGUGAGCUCUAAUUGUAAUCAGUUUAACUUGAGUUAAUGACACGUGUAUAAUUAUUUCUGCGUGCCUGCAUAUAGAGGAGCAUAUGCUUCUGGAGUACAAAAAAACUCCCCUUUCCCAAUUUUUUAUUGUUAGCACCAGCUUUACUUUUUUUGUCUCUCAAUAAUUAAUUUGAUUGGUGACCAUAAACAAUAUUGUCACAGGGCGAAAUGAUGGGUGGCCCAUCUAUAUAAUAUUUAAAAAAAUCCAAUUAAUGAUCUAAAGAAUCCAUUAUGCGUCCUACCUUUGCCUGAUUCUCUCUCCAAAUUUUCCGUAAUCACUGGAAGAAUAUACAAUCGGUGGUGGUUAUACUACAAAAGUUUGACUUUGACAUGGACUAUCCAUCAUGUGGUGCCCAUCAUUCAUCUACCAUGCCUCUGAAAUUCCAUCGUAUAUUUUUCGAUUCACAUAGUAAAUAAAGAAUACAUGGGUAAUUAUUAUUUACCCUUAUAUUUAUCUCUGCCGGCGGCCCCUUCACAUGUCUUGAUGUUGACAGUGCUAAAAUUGAGGGGAAGAGGAUUUUUUUUUUUCACUAAAAUAUUUGGGGAUACUGUUAUGUAUUUGAUUGAUCCGCGCUGUCUAUUCAAUUUCUCUUCUCAUUUUAGAGCAUGAGCCAAAAAAUAAGGUAAAUCCAAGUCUCAGGUGGACCACACCAUAUGAAACAGGGGAAUUGAACUCUUACCGUUCAUUUCUUCUUUGGGGCCAUAGAAGUUUUGGAUCAAGCUUAUUUUUGUGUUUUCCCUUCAUCAUGUUCGUGUGAUGUUAUCAACAGGUUGGAUGGCAGGUACACAUCCUUAUGAGCCCUAUGCUUAUUUAGCUUUCAAUGGUAGGCAUUCAAAUCCCCUUGUGUGGUACACUUGUGCUUUGCGUCUGCCUCAUUUUUGAGUCAUGGUCUAGAUUGAGCACCUAAAAUAUAUGGACGCCGUGGAUCAAAGAAUUGCAUAAUGAUGGCCGCACAAAUUUUGCCACGAUAAUUUCACGAGGAUGACAUCAUCUUUCCCCACGGUUUUUUGGAGGCCAAAAUAUACCCUCAAUUCCUAUUUUGCAAUCAACUGUAAAGAGUAAAGGCUCAGUGCUUCAUUUGUUUUGUGAAUGUCUAGCUUUUUCUCGGGUGCGCAUUCACAAAAUAAAUGAACAAUCUAAAGGAAAAAACUAUAAACAAGUAAAUAAAGCCCAACAAUCACGGUGCAUCGAACCUUAAAUCAUCUAGGGUCACUAAAACUUACCACACCAUGGCGGUCAAACUGCAGUAACAAUCGAAACAAGAGGGACGAAAAGAGUGUGAUGCAACCUAACCAAAAAAAAAAACAAAUUAACAAAGCUUCGGCUGUAUCCCACUAACCCUAUGUCCGGGAGCAUCAGAGCAAGUUCGAUUUUGAUGUAGAGCAAGUCACGGACACUUUAAUGUCCAAGAUGGACUAGAGAAGGCUCGAUGAGAGGCAGAGGUGAUUCGGACCACUAAAACCUUAAUAACAGGCAUAUCUCGUAAAUUGGAAUGAGUUACUCAACAUACCAUAUAUGAUUUUGGGCAGUAGAAGCCAUUGUAGCCAACCAACCCGACUAUGCAGGGUUGC